rnacentral:rRNA from 1 species
AUACGUAGGUGGCAAGCGUUGUCCGGAUUUACUGGGUGUAAAGGGCGUGUAGGCGGGUGCUUAAGUCAGUGGUGAAAUACCGAAGCUCAACUUCGGGGCUGCCAUUGAAACUAUGUUUCUUGAGUGUCGGAGAGGAAAGCGGAAUUCCUAGUGUAGCGGUGAAAUGCGUAGAUAUUAGGAGGAACACCAGUGGCGAAGGCGGCUUUCUGGACUGUAACUGACACUGAGGCAUGAAAGCGUGGGUAGC